ensembl:lncRNA
GUGACUGUCAGGUUUACUGUACAGAAAGGGGUGUGUAGACAGACAACCGGAGGCCAUGGUGUAAUGCGAAAGGUAGUAUUUAAGCGAUUGGAAUUUUGAAUAUCAGCCCAGAGUUCAUGUAUUCUUCUUUGACACCCACCUUUUGGACCUUGGGAGAACAUACUUUGUGUUGGAACCGAGAGAGACAGAGGGAAAGAGAGCAGUACAAGGCAUUCACAGCUCCACUGUGGUGACUAUGAAGCAUCUUCAAGAACUGAGCACUUUCAAAGUUUCACUUUGAGACAACGUGGUCUAGAGAAGACAGACGAUUCUUGACAUUGAAGUGAUCAGUGAGGGAUUUUGGUAAGUAUUUAGGUAAUACAUUGCAUGAUGCUUUCGCAUGACUGGAAAUUAGUUAUUAUCGAUCACUUAAAAUAUAUUUAUUGGGUUAUUCGAGAUUGAGGUUUCCUGAAAACCCUCAGGUGUGGCCUUCCUCAAAGCUCACUACUUUACUGCAUGUGUGUCCCUAUGAAGCUUUUCCUACAUUCAUUGAAACAAUUGCUAUCUUUGAAUGAAACCUGAAUUGAGUUCACUCCUAACAUAAAUAUGUUUACUGUUAGAACCUUUGCUGAAUGUAAUGUGUAAGCAAUCCCAUUGAAAGCAAUCGCUUAAGAAGUAUUUGCUCGGAAUCAGGAAUUUUCCAGACUGUUCCACAGUUCAUAAAUAAUUAGCUAAAUUUUAAACUUGAACAGCAUGAUCAGUGAUUAGGCAGUUGGGCCUUAUCUUUCAGUUGCUGCACUGAUGAGUCAUAUCAUACAGAGGAGGAUCAGUUCACCAAUUGCAUAAGACAGAGAGCAGUGGCUUUCAUUUUAAAGAUUGUGAAACUUUUCCAGUAAUAAAAGGGAGUAGAUGGCUUGAAUCACCAGACGACACUAAAUUGGGAUUUUAGCAGGCCUCUGCAAUAAGGUGUUAAGAAGACAGCUAUACCUUUGAUGACAAAUGUAUCUCCAUUUCGUGUGAAUAAAAUGGACCUGCUUUGGAUAACAGUAUAACUUGAAGAACUGCAAAGUCCAUUUGUGAUAAAGUGUGAAGAUGGAAAAGCUUGAUGUGCUGAUGUUGAGAGCAUUUCCUAGUAAAGAAUAUAAGAAGUAUCUACUUUGUUUCUGUUCCUUAUUUCACCACUACGCUCCAAAUGAUCCCUCUUUGAUUAGGUUUCCUGUCCAAUCAUUCAUCAUCUCAUCAUCUAAUGUAUAUUACCAAUCCAAAAAUAGAUGUCUAGCUCCACUCGGACGAACAGCUUUACUUAUAGAACAGACACCUACACAACAAUUUGUUUCAGAGCUGCUCAAGGCAAAGACUCCAGGCCCAGCACCAAUGUGUGACAGUAAAAAGGUGGAGAUCAGAGAUAAAAGAGGUGCCACAUGUGGUGCAUGGAUUCACAUAUGAAUGUGAAUAGUUUAGACAUAGGGCUUUACAUAGGAAAAGGCUCAUAGGCAAUGUACUACUAUAAACCAAGCUUAGGGGAUUGCUAGAUCAUUUAGAAAGACUGUCAUGGCGUUAUGGUGCAAUGAAUAAGUAAGAAAGGAAUGAGAGUUAAUGCUGUGGCCUAAGCCACAGCUUUAUUUAAACGUUGCCCACACCAAAACCUAUAUGCUAAAAAGAGCUUCAAUGUAUUACGUAAUUUCAUGGCAUUGUUCCAUUUAAAGAAAGAGGCCAUCACAUACUGAUAACGAUUUAUUGUAACAAUAGAAACGUAUCAACCUCAACACAUUUUUUUCCUUAUGAUAAAAAUGAGUGUAUGCCCUGACGUUUUGUUCUCCUUUAUAAAGGCCGCAUGUAAUCUCCAACUCCCAACCAUUUAUUGGGG